AACCGUCCCUAGCACAAGUGGUAAAGGAUUUGGUGGUUGGUAUCCGAGGUUUCAAGUUCGAAGCCUGAAACGGGUAGCUUGGUAUCUUUCUCUUUUAACCCCUAUUUAUCUAAAAAAUUGAUGUGAUAUAAAUGAGUCAAAAAUUUAUGGAUAAUAUCUAAUAUAUCUUUUAAAAUUUUAAAAAUAUCUAAUAUAUAUAUAUAUAGUAUGGCUACUAUACUCUUAUGAGUAUAGAGCCUUUCGUACUCAUAAGUUGUUUUCGAUGUCGACGAUCCACUCUGUUAAAUAUGAUCUAGGGUAUUUGAAACUUCUAGAAAAUAAAUUUCGUAAUUUUUUGAAAUCAUAAUAAAGUCCAUCAAACGGGUAUAAAAUGAACGGUCGAAAUCGAACGACGUCCUAAAAAUGAAUGAUUAGAUCCUUCAAUUUAAGAUCGGAGUUAUUGAUCUUUAUCUACGUAGUGAAUAAAAUUUUCUAUUAAAAAUUCAACCGAUUCUGAUUCUUUUACACCGUUAAACUAACAAAUAUUCCACACCGGCCGUUAAAAAUUGUCAAAUUUUAUGACAUUUUUAUCGUAAGGUAAAUGAUGUCAAAAAAUUAUAAAAUUUAAAUUUUAGAAAUUUUAAAUGCUCUAGAUAAUGUUUAACGGUAUGGAUCGUCGAUUUGGAAGCUCUAUCAUCGAAAGCGAUUUCUGAGUACGAGGGCGAUCGUACUCAUAAGAGUAUAGUAGCCGGACUCUAUAUAUAUAUAUAUAUAUA
rnacentral:lncRNA from 1 species